GCCCGAGCGAAGAGGCAGAGGGCGGGAUGCGGACGAAGCCAGGGAGUUCACGAAACUUCUGGAGUUCUCAGUUUCCCCCUAAGUCGACUGGGGCUAGGUCCCGUGCCGCCAGGCGGGCUGGCUGAGGGGAUGGGCUGGGGCGACAAGACGGCAGCCGCCUGGCCCGGGUACUUGGGGUCAGACCGGCUUCGAGGCCCCCGGACCGCCGUGUUAUCAGGACGGCAGCCAGAGGGACCCCGGGAAGAUGGGAGUGAGAGCUGCCUUCGUCUGCAAAAGUCUCCAGACACCACCUCACUGGUGAAGGCCAGAGACCCUAAACUGUCCCAAGACCACCUGACUGGGCUGCCUCCCUGCCACCUGGCUGCCAGCCUCUCUCAGAGCGCCUGCAAGCUAUUCCUCCAACCCAGAGUUUCCUUCCCAGCUAAAGGCCUUUGCACCUGCUGUUCCUUCUGCCUGGAAGUUCACCGCAGACUAUCCCAGGGCCUCCAUCCUUCCCAUUGCAUGGUCCCCAUCAGCUGCCGCCGCCUCUGAGAGCUCAGUCUCCACUGGCCAUCCUGUCUCUCAGCCCACUGCACUCUCCACUCUGCCAGAAAGUCCCCCAAUCAGUGACAACACAGGUCACGGUCCACACCUCACCUGGUUUGUCCCCAGUGCCCAGCAUCUGGCACCGAGCAGGUGCGUGCAAAUCCUGGACAGGUGGGCAAGCUGAUGGUGUCCAGAGGCCCCUGGUCCUUAAGGGCAGGGGUGGGGAUGGCUCAGAGGACAUAACCUUGCAGACCCGGGUUCAAAUCUGGGCUCCUCAGCUCAUUUGGUCCUCACACAGCCCAUGUUGGGAGAGCUAGUGUUCUCCCUGUUUUG
rnacentral:lncRNA from 1 species